GAUAAACGCUGGCGGCGUGCCUAACACAUGCAAGUCGAACGCGCUCAGCAAUGAGCGAGUGGCGGACGGGUGAGUAACACGUGGGAACCUACCCUGAGGUGAGGGAUACCGGCGAGAAAUCGCCGACAAGACCGCAUAGGCUUCCUGUCAGAGGGAAGCAAAGCCGCAAGGCGCCUUAGGAUGGGCCCGCGGCCGAUUAGCUAGCUGGUGAGGUAAGAGCUCACCAGGGCUACGAUCGGUAGCUGGUCUGAGAGGACGAUCAGCCACACUGGGAUUGAGAACGGCCCAGACUCCUACGGGGGGCAGCAGUGAGGAAUUUUCCGCAAUGGAGGAAACUCUGACGGAGCAACGCCGCGUGCAGGAAGACGGCCUUCGGGUUGUAAACUGCUUUUCUGUGGGAAGAGGCAAGGACGGUACCACAGGAAGAAGUCCCGGCUAACUACGUGCCAGCAGCCGCGGUAAUACGUAGGGGGCAAGCGUUGUCCGGAGUUACUGGGCGUAAAGCGCACGCAGGCGGUCGCGUAAGAGUGCGGGGACAGUGGGCGGCUUAACUGCCCAAGGGUCGCACAGACUGCGUGACUGGAGGGCCAGAGAGGGACCUGGAAUUCCGGGUGGAGCGGUGAAAUGCGUAGAGAUCCGGAGGAACACCAAUGGCGAAGGCAGGGUCCUGGCUGGAACCUGACGCUCAUGUGCGAAAGCCAGGGGAGCGAACGGGAUUAGAUACCCCGGUAGUCCUGGCCGUAAACGAUGACCACCAGACGUGGGAGGUAUCGACCCCUUCCGUGUCGUAGUUAACACGAUCAGUGGUCCGCCUGGGGAGUACGGUCGCAAGAUUA
rnacentral:rRNA from 1 species